rnacentral:lncRNA from 1 species
UGAACUAGACAACAAGCGAUUUCAUAACCACUAUUCGGAAAAAGUACAAGUUUAAAGAAGACAUACCAAAUGGCGCAAGGAUUAAAAUACAAGCCAAAUAAAGGCAAUGAAAACAACUAGUUGGAGCUAUGCAACAAUGAACAGCAAGACGCAGCAUAAGCUUCCGAAUUUGAAACCAAACUCGAACACCCAGAAAUAGCAGAGGUUGAAUUUCGAAAUAAAUUUUUUUCCAAUCUUCUUUUAGAAAUCUCAAUUUUUCUUUUGAUUUUGUCCAGCCAGGUGAUUUCUAGAUCUUCAUUUGAAUUUUAGCUUUGCUUCAGAAGUUUGAUUUUGUUAGAGUUCUAAUUCACGAGAAGAUGAAGAGGAGAGAAAGAGAAGAAACUUCAAGGUUCAAUCAUGGGUGAGGGACUCGAUUCCUCUCCGUUUUUGCUGAAGAACCAAGGGAACGAUGUUGAUUUUAUUUCGUUUUCGUUCAGGAGAGGGAUCUUCUCUAUUUUGUGUAUGGAGAAAUGAAGAAGAAGAUAGGAGCCCCAGCCUUGCGCCGUUCUCUCUGC